rnacentral:rRNA from 1 species
CUUCCCAGGGUGAGUCGGUCCCUAAGGCGAGGCCGAAAGGCGUAGUUGAUGGGAAGCAGGUUAAUAUUCCUGCACUUGUAUGCGAGCGCGAUGGAGGGACGCAGGAGGGUAGACCGUCCGGGUGUUGGACAUCCCGGUGCAAGCCUGUAGGCCGGAGGCGUUGUCAAAUGCGCGCUUCCAAGGCCGAGAGGUGAUGCCGUGACUUUACAGUCUGAAGCGGUUGAUCCCAUGCUGCCAAGAAAAGCUUCUAAGUAUAUCGCAUGCAAACCGUACCGCAAACCGACACAGGUAGGCGGGUCGAGCAGACCAAGGCGCUUGAGAGAACUCUGGUUAAGGAACUCGGCAAAAUGACCCCGUAAGUUCGCGAUAAGGGGUGCUUUCCUGGGUGAAAAAACUUGCUUUUGUAGCCCGGGUGAGCCGCAGAGAAUCGGGGGUGGCGACUGUUUACUAAAAACACAGGUCUGUGCGAAGUCGCAAGACGACGUAUACGGACUGACGCCUGCCCGGUGCCGGAAGGUUAAGGGGUGAGGUUAGGAGCAAUCCGAAGCCUUAAACCGAAGCCCCGGUAAACGGCGGCCGUAACUAUAACGGUCCUAAGGUAGCGAAAUUCCUUGUCGGGUAAGUUCCGACCUGCACGAAUGGCGUAACGAUCUCCCCGCUGUCUCAACCAGAGACUCAGUGAAAUUGAAUUCCGGGUGAAAAUGCCCGGUACCCGCAGUUAGACGGAAAGACCCUGUGCACCUUUACUACAACUUGGCAUUGGCUUUUGGGUUAUCAUGUGUAGGAUAGGUGGGAGGCUGUGAAGUCGGUACGCCAGUAUCGGCGGAGCCAACCUUGAAAUACCACCCUUGGUUGCCUAGAAAUCUAAGUCCGCGCCGUGAUCCGGCCGGAUGACAGUGCCUGGUGGGUAGUUUGACUGGGGCGGUCGCCUCCCAAAUUGUAACGGAGGCUUGCAAAGGUUCCCUCAGGCUGAUUGGAAACCAGCCGUCGAGUGCAAAGGCAUAAGGGAGCUUGACUGUGAGAGAGACAUCUCGAGCAGGGACGAAAGUCGGUCUUAGUGAUCCGGUGGUCCCGAAUGGAAGGGCCAUCGCUCAUAGGAUAAAAGGUACGCCGGGGAUAACAGGCUGAUCGCAUCCAAGAGUUCACAUCGACGAUGCGGUUUGGCACCUCGAUGUCGGCUCAUCACAUCCUGGGGCUGAAGCAGGUCCCAAGGGUACGGCUGUUCGCCGUUUAAAGUGGUACGCGAGCUGGGUUUAAAACGUCGUGAGACAGUUUGGUCCCUAUCUACUGUGGGCGCAGGAGAAUUGAAGAGGGUCUACCCCUAGUACGAGAGGACCGGGGUGGACGGACCACUAGUGUAUCUGUUGUCACGCCAGUGGCAUCGCAGGGUAGCUAUGUCCGGUAGGGAUAACCGCUGAAAGCAUCUAAGCGGGAAGCCUGCCUCGAGAUGAGUUCUCCCUCCGCUUCGGCGGCUAAAGAUCCCAGGAAGACCACCUGGUUGAUAGGCCGGAAGUGUAAGCGCGGCAACGCGUUCAGCUGACCGGUACUAAUAGAUCGUGAGGCUUACCCAA